rnacentral:lncRNA from 1 species
GUGGGUAUGACUAACGCGUUAGAGCUUAAGAAGAUCACAGGGAGGAGUCUGAGGUCCAGGAAUCUGCCUUUUUGAACAGUACUCCUAUUUGGACCACACUGGCCUUGAGCAGAAUUCUUCCAGGGAGAAAGGAGCCUGACUGCUUAAGCACCCCUCCAGGCAGGAUGGACAGCGGCUCCAAAUAUCUAACAGAUGUCGUGCUGUACCUCAGGAUGAAUCUAUUAUUGAUUCGGAACUCUUGCUCGGCUCUUCGCUCUGCAGUGACAACGCUUCCAACCCUUCUGGUCCAAAGCCUCCCAGGGGCCCACCAAUCCACGCUCCUUUGUCAUCUCCCUGACUGAAUAGAAUCUCUCCCUUCUUGGAGAUUGCACAGGAACGUG